GACGUCAUUUUGAUAUGCGAGGAAAUGUGUCAAUUUCGAUCCCAACACUCUUAGUCAUGCCAAAUAGAACUCAAACAAAUGGUCAAUACCAAAACCGACCUCAACUUAAUUAUAAUUUAAGAAAAACUACAUGAAUUUCUUAAAACGUGCAUAAAUCUACAUUGACUUUAACAUAAUUUAGUCAACCGUUAACAAGAUAAGACG
rnacentral:lncRNA from 1 species